AACGCAGGAGACAAACGUUAUCCGGAGUUACUGGGCGUAAAGGGCGUGUAGGUGGUUUCGUAAGUCUGGCGUGAAAUAUCUCGGCUUAACCGAGGCAGGUCGUCGGAUACUGCGGAACUGGAGGACGGUAGAGGCGUGUGGAAUUCCGGGUGUAGUGGUGAAAUGCGUAGAGAUCCGGAGGAACACCAGUGGCGAAGGCGACACGCUGGGCCGUACCUGACACUGAUGCGCGACAGCAUGGGGAGCAAACAGG
rnacentral:rRNA from 1 species